UACGGGGGGGAGCAAGCGUUGUUCGGAUUUACUGGGCGUAAAGGGCAGCGUAGGCGGCGCGACAAGUCACUUGUGAAAUCUCCGGGCUUAACCCGGAGCGGCCAAGUGAUACUGUAGUGCUAGAGUGCGGAAGGGGCUACUGGAAUUCUCGGUGUAGCGGUGAAAUGCGUAGAUAUCGAGAGGAACACCUGCGGCGAAGGCGGGUAGCUGGGCCGACACUGACGCUGAGGCGCGAAAGCCAGGGGAGCGAACGGG
rnacentral:rRNA from 1 species